GAUGAAGAACGUAGCGAAAUGCGAUACUUGGUGUGAAUUGCAGAAUCCCGCGAAUCAUCGAGUUUUUGAACGCAAGUUGCGCCCGAAGCCAUUCGGCCGAGGGCACGUCUGCCUGGGUGUCACGCAUCGUUGCCCCCCCAAACUCCGGUUCGGGCGGGGCGGAAGUUGGCCUCCCGUGCGUGCCUGCGCGCGCGGUUAGCCCAAAAGCGAGUCCUCGGCGACGAGCGCCACGACAAUCGGUGGUUUUUUUACCCUCGUUCCUCGUCGUGCGUGUCCCGUCGCCCGAACGCGCUCUUGUGACCCUCACGCGUCGCCUCGGCGGCGCUCCCAACGCGACCCCAGGUCAGGCGGGACUACCCGCUGAGUUUAAGCAUAUCAAAGCGGAGGA
rnacentral:misc_RNA from 1 species